AGAGUUUGAUCCUGGCUCAGAGCGAACGCUGGCGGCGUGCUUAACACAUGCAAGUCGAACGUGAAAAAGGGGCAACCCUGAGUAAAGUGGCGUACGGGUGAGUAACGCGUAGGUAAUCUACCCCAGAGUCUGGAAUAACCUGCCGAAAGGCGGGCUAAUACUGGAUAGAGCGACGGAAUCCGUAAUUGGGUUUUUCGGGA
rnacentral:rRNA from 1 species